AUUGAACGCUGGCGGCGUGCUUAACACAUGCAAGUCGAUCGGUAACGCGGGGGCAACCCUGGCGACGAGAGGCGGACGGGUGAGGAACGCUUGGGAAUCUGCCUAUCAGCGGGGGACAACACGGGGAAACUCGUGCUAAUACCGCAUACGCUCUACGGAGGAAAGCCGGGGACCGCAAGGCCCGGCACUGACAGAUGAGCCCAAGCCGGAUUAGCUAGUUGGCGGGGUAACGGCCCACCAAGGCGACGAUCCGUAGCUGGUCUGAGAGGACGAUCAGCCACACUGGGACUGAGACACGGCCCAGACUCCUACGGGAGGCAGCAGUGGGGAAUAUUGGACAAUGGGGGAAACCCUGAUCCAGCGACGCCGCGUGGGUGAAGAAGGCCUGCGGGUUGUAAAGCCCUUUCGGUAGGGACGAAAGCUCUCGACCUAACACGUCGGGAGGUUGACUUAACCUACAAAAGAAGCACCGGCUAACUCUGUGCCAGCCGCCGCAGUAACAC
rnacentral:rRNA from 1 species